AUAGGCUUCACAGAAACCGUGCUAAAAGUUAGGUACGUGUCGACUUGAGCUUCAAAAACAACAGGCAGACUGAAUCAGUGUACGCGGUCCAAAGCAGAGCCUAAAUCCCCUGCGAAUGUUCCAUUCGGUCCGGUGCAGGGCACCUGAUGGCUUUUUCCUCAUCUGUAGUUGAAUAUGUGUUGCAUUACAUCUCCUGCUCGCUAUUCGAGGUGUCUCGCCAAUAAAAGCUGUGACAUGAACUACCGAACCCCACCGCAGCUCGUCUCUGGGUAACAGUUGAGUAACCCCGAGUUACAGCUCUUGAUGAACACUAGUACUGCAAAAUCCCGACCAGAUUAACUGAUCGGAUUGUACCAAUGAUAUGAUUGAUGUGAGGUGCAGAUGAUGAGCAAUCUGAUCCCGCAUUCCGUUAAUUUGUUCCUCUUUUUUUCCUAUUUACUGAAUUUUCAGUUGCACUGUAAAAAGUGUUUCUGUGCCUUUGUAGAUUUAACUAAAUAAAAUGAGUAAACUGUG